UUUACAAAGUGCAUAAUUGGAUUAAUUUGAACUGGAAUGUGUGCUUUCCUGCAAAAAAGAAACAGGAAAUUUCAUCAUUAUCACAUGAUAAUGCCCAUAAACAAAAUGGAGUUCUAUCAUAGAUACACAAAAACACUAUUGCAUAAAAGCAACAACAUAUUAUAUAUAUUAUUCGAAAGAAAGGAGAAUGCAGAACAAAUACUAUUUUGUUGUUGAAAAAAGGAACACCAGUUUUAUCCACUCAUUUACAUCGCUCCCUCAUAUCAAAUAUACGGAAGAAGAUCAUUGAAGAACAAUUUGCAAAAAUGUUUUCUCUUAGAAUUGAAGGAAAAUGUUAAGUGAAUGGAAUAAUGUAUUCACUGAAUUCUUACGUAGUGGAUUGAAUAACUGUACACAAGCUGAAACAGAAGACAAUUUUAAUUUAAAAUAACACGAAAAGUGUAUAUUUUAUUAUUUAAUCUGCAAAUAUAUAAACAAAUUCUUUAGAACACCACAAAUGGUAUGACAUUCAAAUUGGUUG
rnacentral:lncRNA from 1 species